CGGCGGACGGGUGAGUAACGCGUGGGUAACCUGCCUCAUACAGGGGGACAACAGUUGGAAACGGCUGCUAAUACCGCAUAAGCGCACAGUACCGCAUGGUACGGUGUGAAAAACUCCGGUGGUAUGAGAUGGACCCGCGUCUGAUUAGGUAGUUGGUGGGGUAACGGCCUACCAAGCCGACGAUCAGUAGCCGACCUGAGAGGGUGACCGGCCACAUUGGGACUGAGACACGGCCCAA
rnacentral:rRNA from 1 species